GACACGAAUGGGAGCGGUCUCCGCCCCCUUCCGCCUCUCCCCGCGGAACUACAGCUCCCAGCGCGCCCCGCGCCGUUCCCAUGGCGACGGGCAGCCGGGCCCGGGCAGAGAGCGGCGAUGCCGAAGGCCGGCAGCGAAACUCUGUGGGAUAUUGCUCGAGAUGAAGUAGAGAAGAGAGAAAACACCGAUGACAACGGCAAGCGUGUGGAAGUUUGGGAGAAAUCGGUGUUGUUUAUGGGAAGCAAAAACGGGGGGAAAACCACUAUUAUACUGAGGUGUCUUGAGAGGGAAGAGAUUCCUAAGCCAACAUUAGCUUUGGAAUAUACCUUUGGAAGACGGGCAAGGAGACACAAUGCACCCAAAGAUAUAGCUCAUUUUUGGGAAAUAGGCGGUGGAACCUCCUUACUGGAACUGAUUCGAAUACCAAUCACUAUCAACAACAUAAGGUCAUUUGCAGUAGUUCUUGUAUUGGAUCUGUCCAAACCUAAUGAACUGUGGAUGACUAUGGAGAAUCUUCUGCAGGCCACCAGAAACCACGUGAAUAAAAUUUUAGCCAAACUGGAAAAGACAGAUCGUGAAGUAGCUACCGAAAUUAAGCAGAAGAUGCAGAGCAGUCUGCAGAGGGAUCAUCCAGAUUAUGACUUGGUUGACCCUUUUCCAAUACCCUUGGUGAUUAUUGGAAGCAAAUACGAUAUAUUUCAUGAGUUUGACUCUGAAAUGAGGAAAAUAAUAAGCAAGACACUUCGAUUUGUUUCGCAUUAUUAUGGAGCAUCAUUGGUGUUUACCAGUAAAUCUGAGGCUCUCCUGCUGAAAGCUCGUGUUCUUAUUAAUCACUUGGCAUUUGGCUAUGAUAGAAGCAAGUCCAUAUCAGUGGAUCACAGCAAACCGCUCUUUAUCCCAGCAGGCUUGGAUUCACUGAGCCAAAUAGGGCCACCACCCACCUCUGACAACAGCAUUGGAAAGAUGCAUGCAAACACACCUUUGGAACUGUGGAAAAAAGUAUUUGAGAAGACAUUUCCUCCCAAGGUUGGUGUUUACAGAGUUUCUGUGGUUUACAAGAUAGCAGGGACCCUGCGCAGGAUCCACAAUAUGCUGAGUACGAAGUUGAUGUCAUGAGAGCUCAGAAAAACCAGGAACUUGAACAGUACAAAAGAAAUGCCUCCAAAUCCUGGAAAGAAAUGGAUUUUGAUCCUGCUUGAUGAACUGCUGAAGUAAUUCACAGGCUGCUUCAGAAAACAAGAUUUAGAACUUAAUACUGAGAAGAAAGAACAAAUAUAAAUAACGUAACUGUCUUCUGUGAUCUAGCAUCGCUUACAAAACAAAAACUUUUGGUAACUUUUAUGUUGUUUAAAGAUCUUGUACUCAUGGAUGCAGUGGUUGGAUAGGAUGCAUAAGAUUAAAGUGAUUUCUUGAUUCUGUCCUUUAUUACAAUAUUUGGUUUGUUCUCUUUCUACAAGUCCCACAGAUGGUAACAAAACAAAGCAUACUACUUUAAAAACAAUUCUAGAAGCAAGAUUUACUCAGCAGUUCUAUCUCUCUGCUUAUUGGUAAUAGCUUAAAAAAAUACUAGGGAAAAGAUCAGAGCACCAUUAGAUACAUUGUUAAAAAAUGAACACAUCAGCAGACUAAAUUAAAUUAUACAAGUCCUCUAAAACAUGUAAUACUGUUGAAAUGGCUGAUUUGGGAGGGAAGAGAAGGGUGGGAAUACCCAGAAUAGCGGGAAGUAAUUCACACUCUUAUUAGAACAUUGUUUUUUAAGAUGGAAAGUAUCCAGUUAGAAUCAGGCAAGGGAAGAUGAAUGUGUUUCUGUAUGUUUGAUCACUUAAAUUCUAUAUAAAAUCCAGCAGAUCAAGCUUUGAAGUAUAAUAAAAUUAAAAGUACAGUGUUACACAUUGUUAGAACUGCUACCUUUUUCACUGCCUGCUAAUAAUCCUCUCUCUUAUUUUGAAGCUCAGGAUUGCUAUAAUGGCAAGUACUGGUAUAAAAGCAUAGAGCAGCAAGAAAUCCACUGUGAACCGGGACAAUGCACCAGGAAAGUUUUGUUCAAUGAACUGAACGCCACGAGAGAUUGGACAUGCAACAUUCAUUGUAGUGGAACUGUUGUCUCCGUCUGUCAAAAGAAAAAAAAUAAUUCCUUCAGUAAGUUUAUCAGUAAAAUUAAAACUCAGGGUCCAGUAUCUAGGCCCAUACAUUUAAUUUAUCUAGCCCUAAUGUUAUCUUAAUGAUGAACUAAACCCACAGCUUCAGCUCUCACCUUUUUGGUGUAAGAACAGACAAACCAUACGUUUCUGCAGUUAAUCUAGGCCAUGUCCUCUGAAGAAACAAACAGAAUGUCUCUAGGAGCUUUCUGUUUUGUUCAUACCAAGUAAAUGAAGGGUGUAGAGUGGCCGCAGUUUGGCCAAUAUGAUAGACGUAUCGUUCACAUUAAUCACCAGCUGUUAACAACUACUCCCAAAGUCAUGGACUCACUUUCUAACAGUUGUUUUUAUGGUUGUAUUCAAACAGUUGCCACCUACGCUUUCUAAUGAAGAGGGACAGGAGAGAUUGAUGACAAAUAGUGCAUAAAGGAUAUGUAGCCUUGGAGAGAAGCACAGACAUCUGUCCACAAAAGCCCAAAAUAUCUUAAGGCUGAAAUAUAGCUGAAAGCUUUACCCCUGUUGACAGAUUCACAUCUCCUUCUAAUCCUUCCAACUUGAUUCUAAUGUUUUGCCGCUUACCUUGCUCACAAACAGCGAAGCACAGCCUGGCAGGUCAAAGCUGCUCAAUAUUUGCUGUAGCAAUAUAUUUGAACUGAAGCCUCACUAGAGUUAGAGGAAAUGUCUGGUCAGGUGUUAGGUGUACUGCUCCCUGCACUGAUAUUCGAUCCUAUACCAUCUGUUUCUAUUGAUACUCUAUUUGUGCAACGGCUCUGAUAAGCACAUAGCAGGCUGCAAAGUUGACUUUCCAAAAUGACCCAAAAGGGGAAUAAAAAAACAGGCGAAGAAGAAAAAGAUAAAAAACUGAAAGGAUGAGAAAUGCUUGAAAAAAAUAGCUGGAUGUUUAUCUAGCUUGCAGAUAUAGAGUUACAGUACAUUUUUCCUAAUCAAUAAGUUUGGGAUGCUUUAAACAACUGCAAGUUGUCUUUAAGUUAUCAGGAUAAUUCUCUUGUUAGUAGAAGGAAAGGAAUACUUCUGAAUACUUACCACAAGUGAAGUUUAAGCCAUAAAAUUCAUUGACUACCAGAAUCUCACUGCUGUAUUUUUGAAAGGUGAGAUAACCAAGUAUUUUAAAGGGUGUUGGCAUUUCUUCUACAGUCCUUUUAAGAAACAGAGAAGUUACGUUGCCUUUUGCUACAUUCCAAGAGCCAGUGCUGCGCUAAAUUAAAACAAUCUUUAUGGUUGUAGAAGAGUUACAGGAAGAGUUCUUGGCUGUACAUGUCAGCUUUUCAAACAUAAGUUUUAUUUCAGUGCUAAAUGAGGAGACAACAACAAAGGUUCUCUCUGACUUUGGUAUGGCAUCGUAACAUUCAGUCCUUACUUGUUGGUGGUGCAUCACAAUGUUCCUUCACAUUUAUUAAGCUAUUUAUUGGUUUAAUAUUUUUAUGUAGUUGAGUUCACACAAAUUAAAAAAGGUGUCUGAAUGACUAAAUUGGAUAAGAAUAUUAAUAAAAUUGUUGAGAACAACUGUUUUUUUCUAAAACCAGUAUUUAAUGUGUGUUAAGUUCCAGCAAUUAUUAAAACUUGUAGGAUUUUUCUGGUAGAAUUCUCUAAAGAGGACGGCGUUUCAUACAAUCAUGUUGGCAUAAGUAAAAGAAUUCAGCUGAGCUGAGAGAUUUGAAUUGCUCAAUUUUAUCUUCAGCUUCUAUGCAAAAUGACAUAAUAAAUAAACAUUUUAAUAUCUUUG